rnacentral:rRNA from 1 species
CGAAGACAACUAGGAUGUUGGCUCAGAAGCAGCCAUACAUUCAAAGAGUGCGUAACAGCUCACUAGUCGAGAGUUCCUGCGCCGAAAAUGUCCGGGGCUGAAACACGACACCGAAGCCGUGGACUCGCAAUGCGAGUGGUAGAGGAGCAUUCUUAAAACCGACGAAGCUGUACCGUAAGGAGCAGUGGAGGGAUAAGAAGAGAGAAUGCCGGAAUGAGUAGCGAGAGAAAGGUGGGAAUCCUUUCGGCCGAAUAUCUAAGGUUUCCAGAGUAAAGCUGAUCUGCUCUGGGUAAGUCGGGGCCUAAGCACAGGUCGCAAGACGUAAGCGAUGGAUAACAGGUUUAGAUUCCUGUACCACGCAUUAUCAGAACUGUAGGGACGCAUGUGGAAAGCACGAGCCGGGAAUGGAAAGACCGGUACAAGCGGGGUAGGAGUACAAUAGGCAAAUCCGUUGUAUGAUCCGAAGACGUGAUGUGGAGCGAAAUAAAGUAGUGAAGCGUGUGAGCCAUGUGCCGAGAAAAGCUGCUAUUGUGUAAUGCGUGCCCGUACCGUAAACCGACACAGGUGGAUGAGGAGAGAAUCCUAAGGCCGACGGAAGAAGCAUUGUUAAGGAAUUCGGCAAAAUGACCCCGUAACUUCGGGAGAAGGGGUGCCCACUGAAUGGUGGGCCGCAGAGAAUAGGCUCAAGCAACUGUUUAGCAAAAACACAGGUCUAUGCGAAACCGAAAGGUGAAGUAUAUGGGCUGACGCCUGCCCGGUGCUGGAAGGUUAAGAGGAGAGGUUAGCGCAAGCGAAGCUUUGAAUUUAAGCCCCAGUAAACGGCGGCCGUAACUAUAACGGUCCUAAGGUAGCGAAAUUCCUUGUCGGGUAAGUUCCGACCCGCACGAAAGGCGUAAUGAUUUGAGCGCUGUCUCGACAAUGCAUCCGGUGAAAUUGAAGUACCAGUGAAGAUGCUGGUUACCCGCGCCAGGACGGAAAGACCCCAUGGAGCUUUACUCCAGUUUGAUACUGGGAUUCGGUACUGCAUGUACAGGAUAGGUGGGAGACGAAGAAGGAUGGACGCCAGUCUGUCCGGAGUCGCUGUUGGGAUACCACCCCUGUAGUACUGGGUUUCUAACCAGUUACCAUGAUCUGGUAAUGGGACAAUGUCAGGCGGGGAGUUUGACUGGGGCGGUCGCCUCCGAAAGGGUAUCGGAGGCGCUCAAAGGUUCCCUCAGAAUGGU